UUAGGGUUCUAGCGUUGGAGGCAUGGACACAUCGUCGCCGUGCCCCAUGGUGAAUGGCGAGCUGCUGAGGCGCUACCCUGGGCGGCGAGUGCGCUGCGUGAUCAGGGUGUCGAGGAUGGAAGCCGGGGGCAGUGUGAUCGUCGGGCAGACGGCGGACAAUGUCCAGGUGACUGUCAAGCAAAUGGGGGCGCCUCCUGUGGGAGCGCUCACCGAGUUCGUGGAGGUGAUCGGCGUUGCGGAGGGCGAUAGGAGCAUCCGGGCGGAGACGUGCACGAGCUUUGGAGGCGGUUUUGAUAUGUCGAUCUACAACCAGCUCUGUCAGAUGGCAAAUGGAGAAUUCCAAGAGCUCUUUGUGUGACCUUGUUUCGGCAUUGACAAGAUGAUCGAGUCGAUUUUAAACGUGGAGAAAGUAUGAUAUCAGGCUAGCAAAUGUUCCUCCGAAGCAUCCGGAAAGCGUGAAAGUCUGGUAGGAAGCUUUUACUUGAUUCGUUUGCUUGACACCACUGAUUGUUCUGAAAGUUUCAACUUGUACUGUGUCCCUCCAAAGCAUCAUGUGUACUACUCGAUUUCCUUGCUUCACAUCAAUCAUUGUUUUCUGAAAGUCUUAUGGCGUAAGUCAUGCUUACAACAUUGAUUCAUAUAGUUGCACCUAGCUACAGUCAGUCGGUCUUGUGGCUGAUUUAAUAUGAUUUUCUAAUUUAAAGACUUUUUGUGAA